UCCAACUAUUGAAAAAAAGAAAGACAAUUUAGAAAUAAAAGAUUGCUCAUCUGUAUUGCAAGGCCCUUUAACUGGUUCACUCCACGUCCAGAAAUCCCAAGACAGAGGGGGGAAAAAGUGGAGAAAAGCCACAGAAGGAACAGCUGUGGAAGGUGUCCCAUUACCAUUCAGGAAAAGGCACUGCGUCCAGAUUCAAUUCUCAGAUUUCUGGAAGAAAAUCUUCAAGCAGAUUUAGCACUACUGAAGAAACAGAAUCUGAGAUUUUAAACUCGUCUUUGGAUCAUGCCCUAAAGACAGCAACCAAUUUGGAACAAACUACUGAUCAAAUGAUUAGAACUACUGCAGAAGAUCUUGUCAAAGUUCAGAGGUGGAGGAAUCAACUGAAUAAUAGUUCAACCCAAGGAGUUUGAAGAAAUGAAACUGGAAUGCCAAGUUUCUAGGUGGGAAUAAGCUAAAGAAUGUGUUGGAAAAUGUAUUCUCAGAUGCUGUGCUGAAUAAAGGAUUCUGAUACUUUUUUGGCUCUAAAAGUUUGGCUUUAAGUAUGAGUUAAAUUAUGGUUAGAUUAUGAACUACCUUUGACAUUUAAAAAAAUAUGCAUAUAUACAUACAUACAUGAGUGUAUACACAUACAUAUGUAUGCUAUAGGGAAGGCACUAAGAUAAAUAAAGGAUUAUCGAAGACUACUUCUUUUAUACAUUUCCAUCCUUCCCAAAAUUAUGGUUGAAUAGGAACUAUAUGAGUAACAAAUUAUUCAAAAAGACUCUAUCAUUUUAUACAAUUAAAUUCUGCUUUCAUAUGAGGGAGAAAGGAAUUCGUUCACUUAACUAUUUUCAUUGACAAGCAUGUAAAUGAAACAAUUUUUGAACCCAGAAAACCUUUCCUAAGCAAACUAUUUUCUGGCACUAUUUUUCUAAUAAAGGAUACUUUACUAUUGAAUUUUCUAUGAAAAAAUCAUGUCAAUGAUGAAAAUACUGAAGAAGAUACUUUUUAGAGAUACAAAAU